rnacentral:rRNA from 1 species
AUGUGUGAACUGCAUUGUUGUUUUAUUCAAGUUUUUUACAAUGCAUUAUUUUUUAUUUUGAGCUUAUGGUUGGAGCACUACAUUUAUAUGUCUAAGUGUACUGCAUUUGUUCUUUUUGUGCACUUUUUAACGACCAUGGUAAAACUUCAUUUUGACGCAGUGUCUGUUUUCCAUGCUGGGGCGCCUGGGUUUGAGGAGGUUACUCAAUUGAUUGGCCAUUAUUUUGCAGAGGGUAAUGUUGGUGUGAGCUUUCACCAGAGAUGCCCCAUCUUGUCUGAAACACAAUCGCAGUCUGUUGAUGGUACAAAGGAAGUUACAUAG